AUCUGUUAUCUGAUACAGUAGGUUAUAUCUGCUGUCUGAUACAGUAGGUUAUAUCUGUUGUCUGAUACAGUAGGUUAUAUCUGUUGUCUGAUACAGUAGGUUAUAUCUGUUGUCUGAUACAGUAGGUUAUAUCUGUUGUCUGAUACAGUAGGUUAUAUCUGUUGUCUGAUACAGUAGGUUAUAUCUGUUGUCUGAUACAGUAGGUUAUAUCUGUUGUCUGAUACAGUAGGUUAUAUCUGUUGUCUGAUACAGUAGGUUAUAUCUGUUGUCUGAUACAGUAGGUUAUAUCUGUUGUCUGAUACAGUAGGUUAUAUCUGUUGUCUGAUACAGUAGGUUAUAUCUGUUGUCUGAUACAGUAGGUUAUAUCUGUUGUCUGAUACAGUAGGUUAUAUCUGUUGUCUGAUACAGUAGGUUAUAUCUGUUGUCUGAUACAGUAGGUUAUAUCUGUUAUCUGAUACAGUAGGUUAUAUCUGUUGUCUGAUACAGUAGGUUAUAUCUGUUAUCUGAUACAGUAGGUUAUAUCUGCUGUCUGAUACAGUAGGUUAUAUCUGCUGUCUGAUACAGUAGGUUAUAUCUGUUGUCUGAUACAGUAGGUUAUAUCUGUUGUCUGAUACAGUAGGUUAUAUCUGUUGUCUGAUACAGUAGGUUAUAUCUGUUAUCUGAUACAGUAGGUUAUAUCUGCUGCCUGAUACAGUAGGUUAUAUCUGAAUCAUUUGCCUGAACAAAAACAACAAAAUAAUGAUGAAAGUAAUAGUUAUAAUUCAGUCAUUUAUUUAGAUGGUUUUCGUACCCACCACAGGCCUUUUACCUUGCUGAUAACAAUUCCCGUAUAUAUAUCUCAUCUGGAAAGUUGCUACUACAGUAUCGCUAUUAAAUCAAUACAUCAAUCCUUUGUUGUUUUGGGCGUGGCUCAUGCAUAUUUAAUGAUGUUUUGGCGGGAAAGUGACGCCCCCCCACCCCCCUUAACACUCCAGGUAUUGGAAUGAUGAAGCGUCACAACCAUGAAUCGCCAUGGCAACAGCA